UUGCAGCAAUAACGUGAUUGAGAAUGGGACACAACAAUAGCAGCAGCAGCAGCAGCCGCGGGAGCAGCAAAGAGCUUAAAUAAACUUAAAAAACUGCAAAAAAAAUAUAAAAAACGUGAAGAACUAAAUUGUAAAUCGAAAUUCCAAGAAGUGAGCGCUGAGAUUCGGUUUUUAAGCGCCUGACGUCGGCAGAGGUCGCAACAAAAAAAGUGAAAAAAAGCAUUUGAGCGCGCGCGCGAAAGCCAAUAGGUAAAAGGGGGCGAACGGGGCGUAACAAUGGAUGGCAGAGAAGUCGCAGUGUGUAUGUUAGUGUUUGUGUGCGUUAGGGCUCCGCUGGACAGCAAAAGCCACUGCGACGUGCAAUUAGUGUGCAACGAGAGAAACAGAGACACAGCAUAUUUGAUCGCUAGAUUGCUGUUGUUUCUGCUGCACCGUUUGCAAACCCAAGGAUCAUGCAUCUCGACUGAAGGCGAGUCAAGGAUACGAGUAUUAUUAAUGAUUGGCUGACCAGCACCAUUAGAGUGCCUUGUUGUUAAAGGCGACGAUGUCCUUUGGCGUAACAAAUGCAAUGCGGGAUUUGUGCCGUUUCCUCGUCUUCGAUGUGCAUUAAUCAAUUUUCGCGCAUCGUCCUGCCGGACUGCAAGAUGCCACCAGCAGUGAGGAAAUUGCUCCUUAGGGUGCGAUUUAAAAUAAAAUGCCUAUCAUUGAAUAUGGAUGCCCCGUCCCCACCUGACCGAUGUUCGAUGACUGUUGCCAACUAUCUCAAAUAAGCCUGGCCGCCCAAGUCAGUUCCCUGAAGUAAUUUUGCAAGAGAACAGACGAAUAUUGGCAGAAAAUGCAGACACCUAAUAAAAGUUUUGCGACAAGUAGGAAACUCAAGUGUAACGAAAACAAAAACAAUAAUUUUGGAGUUUAUUUCGGACUGAACGACCUGAAACCAGGUCCAGGAGACACUCGAGGACGAAGGUGCCUGGAUGUCGAUGUCGAUGUCGAAGGCGAUGGCGAUGGCGAUGCCAAUGUCGAUGUCGAUGUCGUUGUGGUUGCUUUUUAUCUCGUCGUCGCCCACUCAAAGACAGAACCAGAGUCAGAGUCAGAUGCCCAGACUCAGUCAGUGGGACAUUUUGCAGUUUUCCAUUUGCUGUCUCGUUGUUGCUUUAGCUGUUGGAAAACUAUUUGCCAUCUCGACAAUUUCUUGCACGUGCACAGCAUCGCAAUCGCAACCAGAGAGAGACACAGAGCGAGAGGGAGUGAGAGAGAUGGAACUCAUGAG